rnacentral:rRNA from 1 species
UACGUAGGUGACAAGCGUUGUCCGGAUUUACUGGGCGUAAAGAGCGCGCAGGCGGUCGUACAAGUCGCGUGUGAAAGCCCCCGGCUCAACUGGGGAGGGUCACGCGAUACUGUUCGACUCGAAGGCAGGAGAGGGAAGUGGAAUUCCCGGUGUAGUGGUGAAAUGCGUAGAUAUCGGGAGGAACACCAGUGGCGAAGGCGACUUCCUGGCCUGUUCUUGACGCUGAGGCGCGAAAGCUAGGGUAGCAAGCGGG